rnacentral:rRNA from 1 species
GGAUAGCCACUGGAAUGGUGGGUAAUACCGUAUAAUCCCCGCGGGGGAAAGAUUUAUCGCUAUUAGAUGAGCCUAUGUCGGAUUAGCUAGUUGGUGGGGUAAUGGCCUACCAAGGCAGUGAUCUGUAGCUGGUCUGAGAGGAUGAUCAGCCACACUGGAACUGAGACACGGUCCAGACUCCUACGGGAGGCAGCAGUGGGGAAUAUUGGACAAUGGGCGCAAGCCUGAUCCAGCUAUGCCGCGUGAGUGAGGAAGGCCUUAGGGUUGUAAAACUCUUUCAGUAGGGAAGAUAAUG